rnacentral:misc_RNA from 1 species
AAAACCACUCAAGCUCUUUUGCUUGGUUAUGGAAGAUGAGUAUGCCUAGCAUUCUCCCUUUCGAAAUUCAAUGGCGGAAAGCCCCAUGUGCCCCGGCGUAGUAAGUUUUCUUUCGCUUGGAACAUGAGGUGAUCCUGCCACAAACCCCCAAUUUUUCUA